rnacentral:SRP_RNA from 1 species
CCGUGCUAGAUGGGGAGUUAGCGGUGCCCUGUAACCUGCAAACCGCUAUAGCAGGAUUGAAUUCCUUACCUAGGAUUUAAACUUCUAAGGUCUGACCCUUAUAAGUGAUGUUGAUAGGUGGGUCCCACGCAAUGGAUGUCUAUGAACCUCGUCAGGAUCGGAAGAUAGCAGCGAUAAAUAGAAUUUUCCAUGUGCCGUGGCAAACCUACCUUGAGUUAACUGUUUGGGUAACGCUUAAAAGAUUAUUUACAAAGUAAGGUGCGCGG